GAUGAACGCUAGCUACAGGCUUAACACAUGCAAGUCGAGGGGAAACGACAUCGAAAGCUUGCUUUUGAUGGGCGUCGACCGGCACACGGGUGAGUAACGCGUAUCCAACCUGCCCAUCACUUGGGAAUAACCUUGCGAAAGUAAGACUAAUACCCAAUGACAUCCCACGAAGACAUCUGAAUGGGAUUAAAGAUUUAUCGGUGAUGGAUGGGGAUGCGUCUGAUUAGCUUGUUGGCGGGGUAACGGCCCACCAAGGCAACGAUCAGUAGGGGUUCUGAGAGGAAGGUCCCCCACAUUGGAACUGAGACACGGUCCAAACUCCUACGGGAGGCAGCAGUGAGGAAUAUUGGUCAAUGGGCGAGAGCCUGAACCAGCCAAGUAGCGUGCAGGAUGACGGCCCUAUGGGUUGUAAACUGCUUUUAUAAGGGAAUAAAGUGGGUCUCGUGAGACUUUUUGCAUGUACCUUAUGAAUAAGGACCGGCUAAUUCCGUG
rnacentral:rRNA from 1 species